rfam:Brachypodium distachyon strain Bd21 chromosome 1, whole genome shotgun sequence.
CAUAUACUCCUUCAGUCCAACAAAAGAUGUCUCAACUUUGACUAAAUUUGAAUGUUUGAAGAUGCAUUCAAAUUUAGUCAAAGUCUUCAAGCAUUCAAAUUUAGUCAAAGUUGAGACAUCUUUUGUUGGACAGAGGAAGUAAGUU